rnacentral:rRNA from 1 species
UACAGAGGGGGCAAGCGUUGUUCGGAAUUACUGGGCGUAAAGGGCGCGUAGGCGGCCUUCUAAGUCGAACGUGAAAUCCCCGGGCUCAACCCGGGAACUGCGUCCGAUACUGGAAGGCUUGAAUCCGGGAGAGGGAUGCGGAAUUCCAGGUGUAGCGGCGAAAUGCGUAGAUAUCUGGAGGAACACCGGUGGCGAAGGCGGCAUCCUGGACCGGUAUUGACGCUGAGGCGCGAAAGCCAGGGGAGCAAACGGG